UACAGGGGGGGCAAGCGUUGUUCGGAAUUACUGGGCGUAAAGGGCUCGUAGGUGGCCAACUAAGUCAGACGUGAAAUCCCUCAGCUUAACUGGGGAACGGCGUCUGAUACUGGAUGGCUUGAGUUUGGGAGAGGGAUGCGGAAUUCCAGGUGUAGCGGUGAAAUGCGUAGAUAUCUGGAGGAACACCGGUGGCGAAGGCGGCAUCCUGGACCAAUACUGACACUGAGGAGCGAAAGCCAGGGGAGCAAACAGG
rnacentral:rRNA from 1 species